rnacentral:rRNA from 1 species
CUGGGCCUUUCCUGACGCUGAGGAGCGAAAGCGUGGGGAGCGAACAGGCUUAGAUACCCUGGUAGUCCACGCUGUAAACGGUGGGUACUAGGUGUGGGGUCCAUUCCACGGGUUCCGUGCCGUAGCUAACGCUUUAAGUACCCCGCCUGGGGAGUACGGCCGCAAGGCUAAAACUCAAAGGAAUUGACGGGGCCCCGCACAAGCGGCGGAGCAUGCGGAUUAAUUCGAUGCAACGCGUAGAACCUUACCUGGGUUUGACAUGGAUCGGGAGUGCUCAGAGAUGGGUGUGCCUCUUUUGGGGUCGGUUCACAGGUGGUGCAUGGCUGUCGUCAGCUCGUGUCGUGAGAUGUUGGGUUAAGUCCCGCAACGAGCGCAACCCUUGUUCACUGUUGCCAGCACGUUAUGGUGGGGACUCAGUGGAGACCGCCGGGGUCAACUCGGAGGAAGGUGGGGAUGACGUCAAGUCAUCAUGCCCCUUAUGUCCAGGGCUUCACGCAUGCUACAAUGGCUGGUACAGAGAGUGGCGAGCCUGUGAGGGUGAGCGAAUCUCGGAAAGCCGGUCUCAGUUCGGAUUGGGGUCUGCAACUCGACCUCAUGAAGUCGGAGUCGCUAGUAAUCGCAGAUCAGCAACGCUGCGGUGAAUACGUUCCCGGGGCUUGUACACACCGCCCGUCAAGUCAUGAAAGUUGGUAACACCCGAAGCCGGUGGCCUAACCAUAGUGGGGGAGCCGUCGAAGGUGGGACUGGUGAUUAGGCCU